CCUACGGGAGGCAGCAGUGAGGAAUAUUGGUCAAUGGACGAGAGUCUGAACCAGCCAAGUAGCGUGAAGGAUGACUGCCCUAUGGGUUGUAAACUUCUUUUAUAUGGGAAUAAAAUGUUCCACGUGUGGGAUUUUGUAUAUACCAUAUGAAUAAGGAUCGGCUAACUCCGUGCCAGCAGCCGCGGUAAUACGGAGGAUCCGAGCGUUAUCCGGAUUUAUUGGGUUUAAAGGGAGCGUAGGUGGAUUGUUAAGUCAGUUGUGAAAGUUUGCGGCUCAACCGUAAAAUUGCAGUUGAAACUGGCAGUCUUGAGUACAGUAGAGGUGGGUGGAAUUCGUGGUGUAGCGGUGAAAUGCUUAGAUAUCACGAAGAACUCCGAUUGCGAAGGCAGUUCACUGGACUGCAACUGACACUGAGGCUCGAAAGUGUGGGUAUCAAACAGGAUUAGAUACCCGGGUAGUC
rnacentral:rRNA from 1 species